rnacentral:lncRNA from 1 species
GAAAAUCCCCACCUAAUCAAUCAGACCAGUGGAACUAACAGAUAACUACUUCUCUGACUUCAAGAAACUGAGACCUGGAGAAGUUGUGGUGCUGCUACCUGAUAGAGUAAAGGUUGAAACACCAGUCAGCCUUUUAAUCCUGUGUUAUUUUUUUUUUCCUGAUCCACAUUUCAUUUGUGGUUGUCAUCCUAUUAUAAAAGUUGAAUCCUCAGGCCGGGCGCGGUGGCUCACGCCUGUAAUCCCAGCACUUUGGGAGGCCGAGGCGGGCGGAUCACGAGGUCAGGAGAUCGAGACCAUCCUGGCUAACACGGUGAAACCCCAUCUCCACUAAAAAUACAAAAAAAUUAGCUGGGCGUGGUGGCGGGCGCCUGUAGUCCCAGCUACUCGGGAGGCUGAGGCGAGAGAAUGGCGUGAACCCGGGCCCGGAGCUUGCAAUGAGCCGAGAUUGCGCCACUGCCUCCAACCUGGGUGACAGAGCGAGACUCUGUUUCAAAAAAAAAAAAAAGUUGAAUCCUCAAGAGCAUUUUCUAUUACAAUUCACCCCACGUACCAUUUGGAAACGUUUAGAGUCUGCCAUUCACAUUAGACAUUCAGACAUGAAUCUUUUUUUUCCAUUAUCAUCAAACAUUUUUCUUAGACACUUGAUAUGCAAAGAACUACACCCUACCUUCAGGAGGCUAAUAGUCAUGUUGAGAAGGCAAGACCUAUAAAGACAAUUAGUACAACUCUAACUGCCAUAUGAAGUCGUCGUUAACAGAUGUUAAAUGUUCAUUCAUUCCACAAACAGUACCAUGUGCCAUCACGUACCUUAACCCCCUGGUCAUAUAAGAUUCCUUCAGAAACCUUGCUGUCUAUUGUCUGAAGGAAGGUAUAAGCAAAUAGCAUAAUGUGUUUAUUUAACAAAUAUAUAUGAUGAAUUCAUCCUCACUCCAGGCACUAAGAAUAUACAAAGACAUGGUGACUGUUCUUAAAGAGCCUACUAUCUAGCUAGGCCUUAAAGGAGACUAAU